CAAUAGCGUAUAUUAAAGUUGUUGCAGUUAAAAAGCUCGUAGUUGGAUUUCUGGACUGGGCGGCCGGUCCGCGACAUGUUCGUGUGUACCUGGUGUGCUUAGUCCAUCCUUGAUGGGAACGAUGGUCACCGUUAAUUCGGUGCUGUCGGGAACAUCAUCGUUUACUGUGAGAAAAUAGAGUGUUUAAAGCAGGCGUUUGCUCUGAAUACGUUAGCAUGGAAUAAUAAGAUAGGACUUUGGUGCUAUUUUGUUGGUUGCAGCCCAAGGUAAUGAUUAAUAGGGACAGUUGGGGGCAUCAGUAUUCUGAAGCGAGAGGUGAAAUUCUUGGACCUUCGAGACUAACAACUGCGAAGACAUUUGUCCAACGGAAGUGUUCUCUUUAAUUCAAGAACGAAAGUUAAGGGGUAGUCGAAGACGAUCAGAUACCAU
rnacentral:rRNA from 1 species